GCGAGAGUGGCGGAAUUGGUAGACGCGCUGGAUUUAGGUUCCAGUACCGCAAGGUGUGAGAGUUCGAGUCUCUCCUUUCGCACCA
rnacentral:tRNA from 1 species